CGGCUCUCCAAGGUGCUCGCCGGGGCGGUUUACCGCUCAGGAGGAAAGUCCGGACAUCGCAGGGCAGAGUGGUCGGUAACGCCGACCGGGGGUAACCCUAGGGACAGUGCAACAGAAAAUAAACCGCCGCGCCUGGCGCGGUAAGGGUGCAAAGGUGAGGUAAGAGCUCACCGGGGCGAUGGUGACAUCGUCUGUCUUUGUAAACCCCACUUGAUGCAAGGCGAAUAGGUGUCGAGCGCCCCUCGGGGAGCUCCGGAGCGGCCCGCUCCGCUGGCGCCAGGUAGCUGCAUGAGCCGUCUAGCAAUAGCCGGCCUAGAUGAAUGAGCACCCUCGCGUCGAGCGAGACAAGAUCCGGCUUAUACGGGGAGCCGAGGU
rnacentral:RNase_P_RNA from 1 species